CACGUAGGGGACGUGCGUUGUCCGGAUUCAUUGGGCGUAAAGCGCGCGUAGGCGGCUCGGAAAGUCGGUCGUGAAAUGCCGGGGCUCAACCCCGGGACUGCGUCCGAUACUCUCGAGCUGGAGGCAGGUAGGGGAGAUCGGAAUUCCUGGUGCAGCGGUGAAAUGCGCAGAUAUCAGGAGGAACACCGGUGGCGAAGGCGGAUCUCUGGGCCUUGCCUGACGCUGAGGCGCGAAAGCUAGGGGAGCGAACAGG
rnacentral:rRNA from 1 species